UACGGGGGGGGCAAGCGUUGUUCGGAAUUACUGGGCGUAAAGGGCUUGUAGGUGGCCAACUAAGUCAGACGUGAAAUCCCUCGGCUUAACCGGGGAACUGCGUCUGAUACUGGAUGGCUGGAGUGUGGGAGAGGGAUGCGGAAUUCCAGGUGUAGCGGUGAAAUGCGUAGAUAUCUGGAGGAACACCCGUGGCGAAAGCGGCCACCUAGCCCAUACCUGACGCUGAUGCGCGACAGCGUGGGGAGCGAACUGG
rnacentral:rRNA from 1 species